GCUGUCGUCAGCUCGUGUUGUGAAAUGUUGGGUUAAGUCCCGCAACGAGCGCAACCCUUAUCCUUUGUUGCCAGCGAUUAGGUCGGGAACUCAAAGGAGACUGCCAGUGAUAAACUGGAGGAAGGUGGGGAUGACGUCAAGUCAUCAUGGCCCUUACGACCAGGGCUACACACGUGCUACAAUGGCGCAUACAAAGAGAAGCGACCUCGCGAGAGCAAGCGGACCUCAUAAAGUGCGUCGUAGUCCGGAUUGGAGUCUGCAACUCGACUCCAUGAAGUCGGAAUCGCUAGUAAUCGUGGAUCAGAAUGCCACGGUGAAUACGUUCCCGGGCCUUGUACACACCGCCCGUCACACCAUGGGAGUGGGUUGCAAAAGAAGUAGGUAGCUUAACCUUCGGGAGGGCGCUUACCACUUUGUGAUUCAUGACUGGGGUGAAGUCGUAACAAGGUAACCGUAGGGGAACC
rnacentral:rRNA from 1 species